GAUGGCGGCUAUACCAGGAGUGCUCCACCCGUUCCCAUUCCGAACACGGAAGUGAAAUCUCCUCAGGCCGAUGGUAGUCCGAAAGGGCAAGAGUAGGUAGCCGCCGUCU
rnacentral:rRNA from 1 species